CAGCCGUAAACUAUGCUCGCUAGGUGUCAGGCAUGGCGCGACCGUGUCUGGUGCCGCAGGGAAGCCGUGAAGCGAGCCACCUGGGAAGUACGGCCGCAAGGCUGAAACUUAAAGGAAUUGGCGGGGGAGCACAACAACGGGUGGAGCCUGCGGUUUAAUUGGACUCAACGCCGGACAACUCACCGGGGACGACAGCAAUAUGUAGGCCAGGCUGAAGACCUUGCCUGAAUCGCUGAGAGGAGGUGCAUGGCGUAGU
rnacentral:rRNA from 1 species